AGUGAACGCUGGCGGUAGGCCUAACACAUGCAAGUCGAACGGCAGCACAGUAAGAGCUUGCUCUUACGGGUGGCGAGUGGCGGACGGGUGAGGAAUACAUCGGAAUCUACUUUUUCGUGGGGGAUAACGUAGGGAAACUUACGCUAAUACCGCAUACGACCUACGGGUGAAAGCAGUGGAUCUUCGGACCUUUCGCGAUUGAAUGAGCCGAUGUCGGAUUAGCUAGUUGGCGGGGUAAAGGCCCACCAAGGCGACGAUCCGUAGCUGGUCUGAGAGGAUGAUCGGCCACACUGGAACUGAGACACGGUCCAGACUCCUACGGGAGGCAGCAGUGGGGAAUAUUGGGCAAUGGGCGAAAGCCUGAUCCAGCCAUACCGCGUGAGUGAAGAAGGCCUUCGGGUUGUAAAGCCCUUUUGUUGGGAAAGAAAAGCAGCAGGUUAAUACCCCGCUGUUCUGACGGUACCCAAUGAAUAAGCACCGGCUAACUACGUG
rnacentral:rRNA from 1 species